CACAGCAAAUGCCAAAGUGUUAAAAUCCCAGAGUAUUCAUGACCAGAGUAGAUUUUAUACACUUUGGUGUUGAAUAGGCACUAAGUACAUUUUUUGGGGUGUACCAGAAACACUCUUGGGUGUUGUCUCUAAGUUAAUGCUGGUGUAGAGUAAUUUAAGUGUUUAUUUUAGGAUGAUGGACUCCCUGAGUGUCCAACGGUUGAUUGACGGCCGCACGUCGGCUUAGGUUUCGAUUCGUCAUUGGCUCGCUGCGCCUCCUCAUUGGUUGAAUCUAGAGACAUGUGACCGUUUGUCCUCUUCCACACUACGCGGCAAACUGUUUCGGCAGAGACGAUUGACUAGAGAGGAUCGAAUCAAUAUCGCCAAGGGAUUGCUCAGAGUGAGCGAAGACAUUUUUGAACUUCACGGGAAUGUAAACAGGUUGGGAUAGUGACAUGGCCUCACUUCUCCUGCUGGUCUACCUCCUGCCACCACCUCCAAGUGGAAAGAAGGGAGCUGUCAAAAUCAGUAUCCGGGAAGCUGUGGAUCGUGUAGUGAAGUUUCACAGGGUAAUUGUAUCCUGAUAAUUUUUAUUUUAAAAGGUAUUUUUAAAGGUCCCAUGGCAUGCCGCCAGAGCUUGUGUGUUGCUGAUGGAUGUCACAAUCUCUGUGUUGGUCAAUCUACUUAUCGAGUCUUGAAAACAAUGGCGUCGACGGGUGAUCUACUGAUGGUAUUGUGUGUAUAAAAUGUACUUUUUAAUAAACAAUCUGUACACUUACAAAGUUCUCAUUGCCUCGUUUUAUAUGUUAAUACCCUUAUUGAACUACCAAAGAAGUGUCGGGCUACUUCUAGCCUUUUAAAUGGUUUAAAAUAGCAAUUUAGUUUUUACCAUAACCACUGCCCCCAUUGUUUCAAUUUUAUAGCGUUUUGAUAGAAUCGGCUAAAAACAGCCAACUGAAGAAAGCGUCUAUAUGCGUUUUUUUGUGCUCCUAAACGAACGUUUCAACUCAUUAUCAUACUAAACAUAUCCCAAAUCCGUUUUACACCGGAAUUCCCCUUUAAUUGGUUGACAGGGACACAUUUAUUUAUUUUCAAGUUGUUUGUUACAUCAUAUAAAUGUAAAACUAAAUAUGGUUCUUGAUGUAAAAUAAUUAAAGUUUAACUAUAAUGUUAACUAUAUUAUAUAUGUAUGCACUGUAACAACAGCAGCAUCAAUAAAAAUAUAAUGUUUUCAAGAAUCUAAUGUGUAGACUAUUCAUUCAUGAAGUGUUGAUAAUUCACCUCAAAGGUGUUGGCUGUACACCAGUCAGAGUACAUUCUCACUCUAGAAGUAUUAAAUAAUCAGCUCUGCGAAGUGCUACAAAGCACUGACUUGGAGUACAUAUUUUCUCUCUCUGGGGUUCUAGGUUUACACUGCAGGUGUAAGGAAGCACUGAAUGAGUGCCCAAAAGUACCACUAAUAGAGUACAUUUGCACUCUCAAAGUGUUCAAAUGUAACUCUAAAUUUGGAGUACAUAUUUUGCUCUUCUAACAGUGUUCAGUGAACACUGAACUCUUGGACCUAUAUAUACCCAAAAAUGAGUGUUAAAUGUACACCCAUAGAGUACAAUGUACACUGUGAUUUUUGCUGUG